CAUACAUACACUCAAUGCCAUCAAGUAGUACGGAUUUGUGCGGCGAACCUAACCACUCUGACUGAGCUAUAACUACACAUAUGCACACAAAUACACAGUCCUGCCGACCGAGUAGGUACGUGCCGCAACAAGGUGGUGCGCACGAAGUACAAGUGCCUGGGAAAGUGCAAUAGUAUUUUGUGCACCUAGCCCAAACACGUAUAUAAAUAUGAAUUUAUUCCGGACAAUAUUUAAACCAGAACAUUUAAAGUAGAAGACACCGGUGGGUACAGAAUAUUAGAGUCUGAAAAAAAGUCCGACCAAAUAAUUAUUAAACGGAAAAAGUCAGAUUUUUUUUUUUUGAAUUCUUAGUUUAUUAAUAAUGAAAGAAACUAAAAGUUAGUAAUUUAAGUAAAAAUAU